UACAGAGGUCUCAAGCGUUGUUCGGAUUCAUUGGGCGUAAAGGGUGCGUAGGUGGCGCGCUAAGUCAGGUGUGAAAUUUCGGAGCUUAACUCCGAAACUGCAUUUGAUACUGGCGUGCUUGAGGACUGGAGAGGAGACUGGAAUUCACGGUGUAGCAGUGAAAUGCGUAGAUAUCGUGAGGAAGACCAGUGGCGAAGGCGGUUCUCUGGGCCUUACCUGACGCUGAGGAGCGAAAGCGUGGGGAGCGAACAGG
rnacentral:rRNA from 1 species